GACGAACGCUGGCGGCGUGCCUAACACAUGCAAGUCGAACGGAACUGUUUUGAAAGAUUUCUUCGGAAUGAAUUUGAUUUAGUUUAGUGGCGGACGGGUGAGUAACGCGUGAGUAACCUGCCUUCAAGAGGGGGAUAACAUUCUGAAAAGAAUGCUAAUACCGCAUGAUAUAUCGGAACCACAUGGUUUUGAUAUCAAAGAUUUUAUCGCUUGAAGAUGGACUCGCGUCCGAUUAGUUAGUUGGUGAGGUAACGGCUCACCAAGACCGCGAUCGGUAGCCGGACUGAGAGGUUGAACGGCCACAUUGGGACUGAGACACGGCCCAGACUCCUACGGGAGGCAGCAGUGGGGGAUAUUGCGCAAUGGGGGCAACCCUGACGCAGCAACGCCGCGUGAAGGAUGAAGGUUUUCGGAUUGUAAACUUCUUUUAUUAAGGACGAAAAAUGACGGUACUUAAUGAAUAAGCUCCG
rnacentral:rRNA from 1 species